CAGUCGCCACGGUAAUACGAAGGGGGCUAGCGUUGUUCGGAUUUACUGGGCGUAAAGGGCGCGUAGGCGGGCGAAUAAGUCAGGGGUGAAAUCCCAAGGCUCAACCUUGGAACUGCCUUUGAUACUGUUUGUCUUGAGUUCGAGAGAGGUAAGUGGAACUGCGAGUGUAGAGGUGAAAUUCGUAGAUAUUCGCAAGAACACCAGUGGCGAAGGCGGCUUACUGGCUCGAAACUGACGCUGAGGCGCGAAAGCGUGGGGAGCAAACAGGAUUAGAUACCCCAGUAGUCCCUGUCUCUUAUAC
rnacentral:rRNA from 1 species